AGGGCAGAGGAGAGGGAUGUCUCCUGGUGCUCCGGUCACUGACAUCUGGACUUUCCCAGCAAGCCUUUAAGAUGCCAGAGUCCUCAAGGGACGCCAGAUGGCAACCAAGUUCUUCAUCAGGGCCGGUCCUGAAACGGGAGCAGAAAGCACAAAAUGCAUUACAG